GACGAACGCUGGCGGCAUGCCUAAUACAUGCAAGUCGAGCGAACAGAUGAAGUGCUUGCACUUCUGACGUUAGCGGCGAACGGGUGAGUAACACGUAAGGAAUCUACCUAUAAGCGGGGGAUAACAUUCGGAAACGGGUGCUAAUACCGCAUAAUAUCUUCUUCCGCAUGGAAGAAGAUUGAAAGACGGCUCUGCUGUCACUUAUAGAUGACCUUGCGGUGCAUUAGUUAGUUGGUGGGGUAACGGCCUACCAAGACGAUGAUGCAUAGCCGACCUGAGAGGGUGAUCGGCCACAUUGGGACUGAGACACGGCCCAAACUCCGACGGGAGGCAGCAGUAGGGAAUCUUCCGCAAUGGGCGAAAGCCUGACGGAGCAAUGCCGCGUGAAUGAAGAAGGCCUUCGGGUCGUAAAACUCUGUUAUAGGAGAAGAACAAAUUGUAGAGUAACUGCUACAGUCUUGACGGUAUCUUAUCAGAAAGCCACGGCUAACUCUGUGCCAGCCGCCGCGGUAA
rnacentral:rRNA from 1 species